CUAUAGCAAGGCCUCCUUACCUAUUUCCAAAUCUAAAAGGCAAAAGCUGUCUUUUCCCAGUCAACUGGAAGUUCAGACAUGGCUUAUCCUCAAGAGAUCUAUUUCUAAAAAUGUGAGAGACAAAAAUGUGUUGGGAGUGUGAAGAAGUGGUGGAAAGAGUUCCUCGAAGAAGUGAUGAUUGGGCUGAAAUCUGGAGGCUGAACAGAAUUUCCCAGGAAGAAGUAGAGUGGGUCCCUGCUGGAGUUCUGAAAGGGUCCAGAAUCAAAGCACUUCCAGAGAAGGUGAAGUGGAUGAUUAUGACUGGCCAUUCCAAGUCAUAAUCAGAAAAAGAGGCUGGUUCCUUUUCCAGUGAAUGAGCACUACAUUCACUCCAUCACAUUGACUCAAGCUGGGUUUUAAAGCUGGGAUCAGGGGAUGAAUCAAGUCAACCCGACUUGUCCUGAUAUGUCCAUGUGACACUACCAUGAAAACUUUCCUUCAUGGGCAGAAAAUAAUACCAAUAAAUAUUCUCUAGUUCUUUAUGAGUUUACAUUUAGCAAAAUGAAUUUUUAUCAUAAAAUCAUUACUUUUAUACAUGCUCAGAAAGAAUGAAAAAAGACAUAGAAAUCAGAAACAUAUAAAAGGAAAUUAAAGUUAAAAAAUACACACAUGGUGGCUACCUAAAUCAACUACAUUAUCACUUACGUGUAUCUUUUCAGAAUUAUUUUUUAAUUUGUUCUGGAAGGUGGAAUAGUAUUGGAAAGUGUCUUAGCUUGACAGUACUUUUUUUAAAGAAGAUUUUAUUUAUUUGAGAGAGAAUUAGCAGGACAGGGAAAGAGAAUCGAGAGAAAGAAGGUGAAGCAGAGUGCACUGAGCAAAGAGCCUGAAGGGGGCUCAAUCCCACUACCAGGAGAUCAUGACCUGAGUCAAAACCAAGAGUCAGAGACCUAACUGGCUAAGCGACUGUGGUGCCCCUAACUUGACAGUAUUGAAAAGAACCCUGCUUCUAGCAACAAGCAAAAAUCUACAUCAUAAUUCAUUCCUUGGGAGGAAAAGCACCUGAGUGAGGGGUCCCACUCUCAAGUCAGCCAAGGUGCAAGGUCUUGGCAACCUCAGUGCCUCAUUCCAUGGCAUAUCCUUGGGGCUCGUCCCUCCCCAGAGCUGCAAGCUAAGAAUUCACCUCAGGAGACCACGGUAUUUGUUCUGGAGCCUUUCCCCUAAAGAACAGCCUCAAGUACGUACAUAACAGGCUGGUACCGUUGUUUGUUUCUAGAUUUAUUGAGAUAUGAUUGCAUGUAACAUUGUGUAAUUUUAAAGCUGUACGGCAUGAUGAUAACAUGUUUAUAUUGUGAAAUGAUUAUGACUAGAGGUUAGUUAACAUCUGACCUGCAUCACAUCAUGUAAUUACCCUUUCCAUGUGUGUGGUGAGAACUUUUAAAAUUUACUCUUAGUGAAAGAAGUCAAUCAGAGAAGGACAAACAUUAUAUGGUCUCAUUCAUUUGGGGAAGAUAAAAAAUAGUGAA